GCUAAAAACAGGCUGAUACACAUUUUCCCGUUUCCAUCAGUUACACUACACAAACGUGUAUUUCGUGUUGGUGACAGCAUUAUUGUCUGAGGACUGCACCCCAGAGCCAAGCACAAACCGGGACAGGCUCGGGGUCGAGGCGAAGCAGAGGAGGGAGGGCUGCCGGGGUCCGAGGAAGAAGAGGCAGGACGGGGAGGACGAGGUGCAAGCUAAGCAGCACAUAUUCUAGGAGCUGCGACAACAUCAUAUGAACAGCCAGAAUCUGAGGACUGUGGCCAACAUCCAGACUUCAGUAUUUCCAUGCACCACACAAGGCUGACCUUCCAGACCCAGGACAGAGUAACAGACAGUUCAGUCAGGCAGCAUACAGACAGUUUGUAGCGUGGCAAUGUGGAGCACUUGGUCACAGAGUCGUGAUACUAAGUUGCUUUCUGGAAGAUAUGCAACUGUUAUUCUGAUCCACCAGGACAAUACAGAGGUUUAAUCCUAGCAGGGUGUAAGAUGUAAUGUCACCAACUGCUACACAAAUAAUUCCCUCCACUGUGUGAAUGAAUAUCUGUACAUUGUUUUCUUUUUAUGCCCAGGAGGGUAGAGAAAAUACAAAGAUAUUUUUCCCUAUUCUGGAUAAUAUUGUCAUUCUUUUUUAAAUAAAACAUUGAAAAUGA